AUGACUCUUGAUCUUGGGGCUGUGAUCCCGAGCCCGUGUUGGGUAUAGAGAUCACUAAAAAAAUAAAUAAAAUUAAAAAUUAAAAAAAAAAAUCCCCAAAAUGAAAUCUCUAGUCCCAGGUGGUUUCACUGGAAAUUCUACCAAACAAAGAAAUUUAAUACCAACUACCCAGUCUUUUCCAGAAGUGAACACUUCUUAAUUCACUUUAUAAAGCUAGUAUUCUCCUGCUGCAGAGCCAAAGACAAUGCAAAAAAUAUCCCUCAUGAAUAUGCAUGCAAAGAGAUCCUUGAUGAAAUAUUAGCAAAACGAAUUCAGCAAUAUAUAAAACAUACAGUGGUUGCCAGGGACUGAAGAGGGGAUGGGCUGUGAGAGCACUGGAUGUGAAUGUAAGAGAGGGAUCCUUGUGGUGAUGGAAAUGUGUACCUUGACUGUACCUUGUGUUACUGUCCUAUAGUUUCUAUAGCCUCCCCAGUAGUUUCUAUGGGGGGUUUCUCUGUAUAAUUCGUACAGCUGCGUGUGAUCUAUAUAUUGUUUAAAAAUAAAAAGUUUAACUUGAAAAAGUCAUUACUGAGUGGGUCCAGCUCCAGGAUUGGGGCUUUGGGCCCCUAACAGAGUGUGCACCCAAGCAGCUGCUGCCUCCCAUUUCUCCUGAGCUAAGGCGAGAGGGGUCUUGACUCACCUGACACAGGAUCAUCUUGGCCCCAUUUGGCCAACGGGAGCCCAGGGCAGUUAGGAGUCCCCUUCCGAGAGGCAGACGACCCUGCCUGCUCUUAUUUGAUUUCUCAGACCUCUUCUGUGGGUUCU